CUAAACUGCACCAAGUUAUCAGGCUCAUCCUAAGGGUUCCGUAGAGAAGACAGAAAACAGGUCUUCAGUUUCCUUCUUUGGAGGCGACACUUUGACAGUUCCCGUGCACCUCUGAAGAGAGCUGAUACCAUGUGAAUGCCGUAAAGUGUAUGACACAAACCCGGAUGGUACAGCCUACUACACACCUAGGCCAUUUGCUACAGCCUAUUGCUUUUCGGCUAUAAACCUGUACUGCAUGCUACUCUACUGAAUACUGCAGGUUAAACUAGGGAACUAUCACUUCCCUACUCUCAUGAUUGUUGCUUGAACUCAGUUCUUGGAGGCCGUGAGAUCCAUGUUCUGUCACGUCUUCAAAGCCAGCAAGAAGUGAGAAGAAGGUUACACCCAGC